rnacentral:misc_RNA from 1 species
GGGGAAUUUUCCGCAAUGGGCGAAAGCCUGACGGAGCAACGCCGCGUGAGGGAGGAAGGCCCUUGGGUUGUAAACCUCUUUUCUGGGGGAAGAAGUAAUGACGGUACCCCAGGAAUAAGCAUCGGCUAACUCCGUGCCAGCAGCCGCGGUAAUACGGAGGAUGCAAGCGUUAUCCGGAAUCAUUGGGCGUAAAGCGUCCGCAGGUGGCUAUUCAAGUCUGCUGUCAAAGCAUGGAGCUUAACUCCAUAGAGGCAGUGGAAACUGAAAGGCUAGAGGCCGGUAGGGGUAGUGGGAAUUCCCAGUGUAGCGGUGAAAUGCGUAGAGAUUGGGAAGAACAUCGGUGGCGAAAGCGCACUACUGGGCAGGACCUGACACUGAGGGACGAAAGCUAGGGGAGCAAAAGGGAUUAGAUACCCCUGUAGUCCUAGCCGUAAACGAUGGAGACUAGGCGUAGCUUGUAUCGACCCAAGCUGUGCCGAAGCUAACGCGUUAAGUCUCCCGCCUGGGGAGUACGCACGCAAGUGUGAAACUCAAAGGAAUUGACGGGGGCCCGCACAAGCGGUGGAGUAUGUGGUUUAAUUCGAUGCAACGCGAAGAACCUUACCAGGGCUUGACAUCUGGCGAAUCUGGGGGAAACCUCGGAGUGCCUUCGGGAGCGCCAAGACAGGUGGUGCAUGGCUGUCGUCAGCUCGUGUCGUGAGAUGUUGGGUUAAGUCCCGCAACGAGCGCAACCCUCGUUUUUAGUUGCCAUCAUUAAGUUGGGCACUCUAGAGAGACUGCCGGUGACAAACCGGAGGAAGGUGGGGAUGACGUCAAGUCAGCAUGCCCCUUACGUCCUGGGCUACACACGUACUACAAUGGUCGGGACAGAGGGCAGCAAACUCGCAAGAGCAAGCGAAUCUCAUCAAACUCGGCCUCAGUUCAGAUUGCAGGCUGCAACUCGCCUGCAUGAAGGAGGAAUCGCUAGUAAUCGCCGGUCAGCAUACGGCGGUGAAUUCGUUCCCGGGCCUUGUACACACCGCCCGUCACACCAUGGGAGCUGGCCACGCCCGAAGUCGUUACCCUAACCCGAAAGGGAGGGGGAUGCCGAAGGCAGGGCUAGUGACUAGGGUGAAGUCGUAACAAGGUAGCCGUACCGGAAGGUGUGGCUGGAUCACCUCCUUUACAGGGAGACCAACACUACUGGUUAACCUAGAUUGUUUUAGGGUUAACAGUGGAGACAUCCCAGGUCGAGCGAAUUUGGAUGAAAGGCUUUCAAACUUAUCGGGUUCGACACUUACUUAUGUAAGUUCUUCUAAUUAUCUGUUGACUUCUUAAAUAAAAGAUGAUAAAGUAGGAGACUGGUUAAAAAUUUAAGAACACCAGGCUGAUCAUAAGGAUAGAAAAUCUAGCAACUUAUCUAGUCGAAUGGUAUCAACUAGAGAGACUGCUGGAAAAUUGUUCCAGACAGAACCUUGAAAACUGCAUAGCAACUAAAUUAGGUAGAAAGAAAUUAGCUUCUCACGAAGUUAAUUUCUUAUCACAGACACCAAUAUAAAUAAUGUGGUCAAGCUAGAAAGAGCUAACGGUGGAUACCUAGGCACACAGAG